rnacentral:rRNA from 1 species
AUGGCGACCGGCGCACGGGUGAGUAACACGUAUCCAACCUGCCGAUAACUCCGGGAUAGCCUUUCGAAAGAAAGAUUAAUACCGGAUGGCAUACGAAUAUCGCAUGAUAUUUUUAUUAAAGAAUUUCGGUUAUCGAUGGGGAUGCGUUCCAUUAGUUUGUUGGCGGGGUAACGGCCCACCAAGACUACGAUGGAUAGGGGUUCUGAGAGGAAGGUCCCCCACAUUGGAACUGAGACACGGUCCAA